UUUGCUUCUUGGCCUUUUGGCUAAGAUCAAGUGUAGUAUCUGUUCUUAUCAGUUUAAUUUUUGUUUCUCAUUAUUAAAAUACAA
ensembl:snRNA U2 U2 spliceosomal RNA